rnacentral:rRNA from 1 species
AGCGAACGCUGGCGGCAGGCCUAACACAUGCAAGUCGAACGAACUCUUCGGAGUUAGUGGCGAACGGGUGAGUAACACGUGGGAACGUGCCUUUUGGUUCGGAAUAACUCAGGGAAACUUGUGCUAAUACCGAAUGUGCCCUUCGGGGGAAAGAUUUAUCGCCAUUAGAGCGGCCCGCGUCUGAUUAGCUAGUUGGUGAGGUAACGGCUCACCAAGGCGACGAUCAGUAGCUGGUCUGAGAGGAUGACCAGCCACACUGGGACUGAGACACGGCCCAGACUCCUACGGGAGGCAGCAGUGGGGAAUCUUGCGCAAUGGGCGAAAGCCUGACGCAGCCAUGCCGCGUGAAUGAUGAAGGUCUUAGGAUUGUAAAAUUCUUUCACCGGGGACGAUAAUGACGGUACCCGGAGAAGAAGCCCCGGCUAACUUCGUG